CCUACGGGUGGCAGCAGUGAGGAAUAUUGGUCAAUGGGCGCGAGUCUGAACCAGCCAAGUAGCGUGAAGGAUGACUGCCCUAUGGGUUGUAAACUUCUUUUAUAUAGGAAUAAAGUGAUCCACGUGUGGCUUUUUGUAUGUACCUUAUGAAUAAGGAUCGGCUAACUCCGUGCCAGUAGCCGCGGUAAUACGGAGGGUGCAAGCGUUACUUGGAUUCACUGGGCGUAAAGGGAGCGUAGGUGGGUUAGCAAGUCAGUUGUGAAAUCCUGUGGCUUAACCAUAAAACUGCAUUUGAAACUGUUAGUCUUGAGUACAGGUGAGGUAGGCGGAAUUCUUGGUGUAGGGGUAAAAUCCGUAGAGAUCAAGAAGAAUACUGAUUGCGAAGGCAACCUGCUAGAACAUAACUGACGCUGAUGCGCGAAAGUGUGGGGAGCAAACAGGAUUAGAUACCCGAGUAGUC
rnacentral:rRNA from 1 species